AUGACUAGACAGAUCAUCAGUUCUUCAUGCAAUGGCCUGUAUGCUCCGCCUUGCAUCGCUCAGCCGGAACAUAGAUCACCAAGAGUGGACUGGGUUGAGGCUGGUGCCGUCUCCCGUGCAGUGAGGCAUCAAAAGAGCUGUCAUUCUUGCUGGGCUAUGGUGGUUGUAGCAGCUAUUGAGGCUCUACACUACAUCAAAACGAAGGAGUUACUUGUGCUAUCAGUUCAAGAGUUAAUCGACUGUGACACAAAAAGCUUCGGAUGUGCGGGUGGCUACACUGAAAAUGCGCUUGAGUACGUACAGAAAAAUGGUCUGUCCAGAGAAUCAGACUAUGGCUACAUGGGCCGGGAACGUAUACUAGGUUGCAAGAAAAAUAAGGCACCAGCAGCGUCAAUCACAGGUUUCAAAACCAUCAUCAAUCCUACUGAAGAGUCCUUGGAGGCGGCAGUGGCGCAACAGCCAGUUAUCAUUCGAUUGCAGUGCUCGCAGAGCUUCCGAGAGUAUAAAGGAGGUAUUAUUGACUCGCCACCAGCUGCACCCAAAAGCGAAGGCAUGUUCGUGCACUAUGUCCUGAUUGUAGGCUAUGACACGGACUCCAAUGGCAUCAAGUUUUGGCGAUUCAAGAACACCGCUGGUGAGGGUUGGGGCGAGGCACAUCGCUGA
rnacentral:rRNA from 1 species